rnacentral:tmRNA from 1 species
GCACGAUGCGGCGGUUGAAAAGACACCGCCGCUCCCUCACAAUGCGCAGCAUGGUUGUAACUCCGGCGAGUCGGAGACGUUCUGGACAGGGGUUCGAUUCCCCUCACCUCCACCAAAGUGCAUCCGGUGGGUGUGGUUUGGUGGGGGUGUCCUGGUUUCGACAGGGCGAGCAAUGGCGAGCAGGCAACCCGAGAGGCGACGGACGUAAUCCGCGCAAAUCCAUAAACGCCAACGAUGAGCGUUUCGCGAUCGCUGCCUAAGCAGAUCGCCGGGGCCGCUGAAGCCUUGUAACCCAAGACAGCCGAUGGGGACUUCGGUCCCCAUCGUCA